rnacentral:rRNA from 1 species
CGGAGGCAGCAGUGGGGAAUCUUGCGCAAUGGGCGAAAGCCUGACGCAGCCAUGCCGCGUGAAUGAUGAAGGUCUUAGGAUUGUAAAAUUCUUUCACCGGGGAAGAUAAUGACGGUACCCGGAGAAGAAGCCCCGGCUAACUUCGUGCCAGCAGCCGCGGUAAUACGAAGGGGGCUAGCGUUGCUCGGAAUUACUGGGCGUAAAGGGCGCGUAGGCGGAUACUUAAGUCGGGGGUGAAAGCCCAGGGCUCAACCCUGGAAUAGCCUUCGAUACUGGGUAUCUUGAGUACGGGAGAGGUGAGUGGAACUCCGAGUGUAGAGGUGAAAUUCGUAGAUAUUCGGAAGAACACCAGUGGCGAAGGCGACUCACUGGCCCGUUACUGACGCUGAGGCGCGAAAGCGUGGGGAGCAAACAGGAUUAGAUACCCUGGUAGUCC